GCAUCUCUCAGGUUCUGACACGGCCCUCGGAAUGGUCAGAAUUUUUUAACCAACCCCUACGCGGUCGGCUUUUUUUU
rnacentral:ncRNA from 1 species